rnacentral:misc_RNA from 1 species
AGCGCAUCAUGCAACUGGUCAGUAAUUGUUUUAAGUAGGGUAAAUUGUCAUUGUUUAUACUGAAAUUCAUAUAUUUGUAAGAAAUAUUUAUCCUCUGUACAUGAGUAAUUUAUGGGUUUCCUUUAUGGAGAACUUGGACUUAUGGACGUUAUGGCUCAAGAUGUGUCAAAUGACUUUCAUGUUUUUGUUUAUUGAGAACUUGCCCUUAGCAUUACUGUUGACUCUCUGGUUUAUAGCUGCCUGCAUUAUUCAGCCACUUAACUUUUUUGGUAUAUCUGUCUGGGAAUUGCACAGGUCCAAGAAAAGAAGGUUAAG